rnacentral:rRNA from 1 species
AUACGAAGGGUGCAAGCGUUAAUCGGAAUUACUGGGCGUAAAGCGCGCGUAGGUGGUUUUGUAAGUUGGAGGUGAAAGCCCCGGGCUCAACCUGGGAAUUGCCUCCAAAACUGCAUGACUAGAGUACGGUAGAGGGCAGUGGAAUUUCCUGUGUAGCGGUGACAUGCGUAGAUAUAGGAAGGAACACCAGUGGCGAAGGCAACUACCUGGACUGAUACUGACACCGAGGUGCGAAAGCGUGGGGAGCAAACAGGAUUAGAUACCCUGGUAGUCCACGCCGUAAACGAUGUCAACUAGCCGUUGGGAUCCUUGAGAUCUUAGUGGCGCAGCUAACGCAUUAAGUUGACCGCCUGGGGAGUACGGCCGCAAGGUUAAAACUCAAAUGAAUCGACGGGG